GCUUGAUAUCUUCUCCAAUCAGAAGGGGAAAAAAAGGAACUCUUAUGUUGGAGGAUAGAGUACUGCUGCAACAUGCUCUUUAGGAGGCUGGCAUGCAGGAAGUUCUCCAGGGAGUGCUGUUGGCAGCAACAUCUGUGACACAGAAGGAAGAGAACCACCUUGGCAGAAAGAAGGAGAGGUGGAUGAUGAAGCCACCUCAAUCAAAAUCUUGGCUGCCCAAACAGGAACUCUGGAGACUGGCAAGGUUGAAUAAUUCUCCAUGGUCAUACAGUCUUUUCCUUUGGAGUGAACAAUCUAGUAAGGAAGUUUUGAACAUGUCUCCCCAGUGCCCAACUCAGCCCAAACUCUUCUAAGUAAAAAAAUAAAUCUCUGACCAUUCCCAUUUUUCAUGACACCAGAAUGAGCAAAGGUGGUACUUAAAGGAGAACUUACAUGUGAAAAUCUGAGGUAAGCUUCAUUUUAUUUCCUUGUGCAACCUCUAU
rnacentral:lncRNA from 1 species